GCCCUCGUAGCUUAGCAGGUAGAGCAUAUGGCUGUUAACCAUAAGGUCACCAGUUCGAGUCUGGUCGAGGGCG
rnacentral:tRNA from 1 species